rnacentral:rRNA from 1 species
AUACGUAGGGGGCAAGCGUUAUCCGGAUUUACUGGGUGUAAAGGGAGCGUAGACGGAAGGCCAAGUCUGAUGUGAAAGCCCGCGGCUCAACUGCGGGACUGCAUUGGAAACUGGUCAUCUGGAGUGCAGGAGGGGUAAGCGGAAUUCCUAGUGUAGCGGUGAAAUGCGUAGAUAUUAGGAGGAACACCGGUGGCGAAGGCGGCUUACGGGACUGGAACGGGCUUUGAGGCUCGAAAGCGUGGCGAGCAAACAGGAUUAGAUACCCUGGGAGUCCACGCCGUAAACGAUGAAUACUAGGUGUCGGGUUUCUAUAGAGAUUCGGUGCCGCAGCAAACGCAAUAAGUAUUCCACCUGGGGAGUACGUUCGCAAGAAUGAAACUCAAAUGAAUUGACGGGG